UACGUAGGUCCGAACGACGUUACUGAGAAUCACUGGGUUUAAAGGGGUGCUAGGUGGUCCGUUAAGUCAGUUGUGAAAUCCCCGGGCUCAACCCGGGAACUGCUUCUGAUACUGGCGGACUUGAGGCCAGUAGGGGUCACUAGAACUGACGGUGGAGCGGUGAAAUGCGUAGAUAUCGUCAGGAAUGCCGGUGGUGAAGACGGGUGACUGGGCUGGUUCUGACACUGAGGCACGAAAGCGUGGG
rnacentral:rRNA from 1 species